GAUGAACGCUGGCGGCGUGCCUAAUACAUGCAAGUCGAGCGAACAGACGAGGAGCUUGCUCCUCUGACGUUAGCGGCGGACGGGUGAGUAACACGUGGAUAACCUACCUAUAAGACUGGGAUAACUUCGGGAAACCGGAGCUAAUACCGGAUAAUAUAUUGAACCGCAUGGUUCAAUAGUGAAAGACGGUUUUGCUGUCACUUAUAGAUGGAUCCGCGCCGCAUUAGCUAGUUGGUAAGGUAACGGCUUACCAAGGCAACGAUGCGUAGCCGACCUGAGAGGGUGAUCGGCCACACUGGAGCUGAGACACGGUCCAGACUCCUACGGGAGGCAGCAGUAGGGAAUCUUCCGCAAUGGGCGAAAGCCUGACGGAGCAACGCCGCGUGAGUGAUGAAGGUCUUCGGAUCGUAAAACUCUGUUAUUAGGGAAGAACAAAUGUGUAAGUAACGAUGCACGUCUUGACGGUACCUAAUCAGAAAACCACGGCUAACUACGU
rnacentral:rRNA from 1 species